rnacentral:rRNA from 1 species
UGAUAAGUCAGAUGUGAAAUCCCCGGGCUUAACCUGGGAACUGCAUCUGAUACUGUUAAGCUAGAGUAGGUGAGAGGGAAGUAGAAUUCCAGGUGUAGCGGUGAAAUGCGUAGAGAUCUGGAGGAAUACCGAUGGCGAAGGCAGCUUCCNGGCAUCAUACUGACACUGAGGCUCGAAAGCGUGGGUAGCAAACAGGAUUAGAUACCCUGGUAGUCCACGCCGUAAACGAUGUCUACUAGUCGUUGGGUCCCAUGAGGACUUAGUGACGCAGCUAACGCAAUAAGUAGACCGCCUGGGGAGUACGGCCGCAAGGUUAAAACUCAAAUGAAUUGACGGGGGCCCGCACNAGCGGUGGAGCAUGUGGUUUAAUUNGAUGCAACGCGAAGAACCUUACCUGGUCUUGACAUACACAGAAUCUUGUAGAGAUACGAGAGUGCCUUCGGGAAUUGUGAUACAGGUGCUGCAUGGCUGUCGUCAGCUCGUGUNGUGAGAUGUUGGGUUAAGUCCCGCAACGAGCGCAACCCUUGUCCUUAGUUACCAGCGGGUUAAGCCGGGAACUCUAAGNAUACUGCCAGUGACAAACUGGAGGAAGGCGGGGACGACGUCAAGUCAUCAUGGCCCUUACGACCAGGGCUACACACGUGCUACAAUGGUAGGUACAGAGGGCAGCUACACAGCGAUGUGAUGCGAAUCUCAAAAAGCCUAUCGUAGUCCAGAUUGGAGUCUGCAACUCGACUCCAUGAAGUAGGAAUCGCUAGUAAUCGCGGAUCAGAAUGCCGCGGUGAAUACGUUCCCGGGCCUUGUACACACCGCCCGUCACACCAUGGGAGUUGAUUGCACCAGAAGUGGUUAGCCGAACCU